AAGUCGUAACAAGGUUUCCGUAGGUGAACCUGCGGAAGGAUCAUUAACAAUUGGACCGCAUUGUGUGGUCUCUACAUGUAUUUCGCCCUUGUGUGCACCAACUGAAUGUAGGCUUCUGGCAGCGCAGAGUCUGGAAAGGCCGCGGCGAAUAGGGUAUCCCUUAAAGUGGGUAUGCUGCGCGUCCUCCUAGGCCCUUUCCAGCGGGUUUUCCCGGCCUGCCAGGGUCUUUUUUCGAUAUCCAAAACCUUUACAACGCAUCUAAACUUUUAUUGCCUGAAAUUCGGUUUUUGAAAUAUAAAAACCUUAAAAAAACGGAAAAACAACUUUCAACAACGGAUCUCUUGGUUCUC
rnacentral:misc_RNA from 1 species